rnacentral:rRNA from 1 species
AUUGAACGCUGGCGGCAUGCUUUACACAUGCAAGUCGAACGGUAACAGGCCGCAAGGUGCUGACGAGUGGCGAACAGGUGAGUAAUGCAUCGGAACGUGCCCAGUCGGGGGGGAUAACUGCUCGAAAGAGCAGCUAAUACCGCAUACGAUCUAUGGAUGAAAGAGGAGGACCGUAAGGCCUCGCGCGAUUGGAGCGGCCGAUGUCAGAUUAGGUGGUUGGUGGGGUAAAGGCUCACCAAGCCAACGAUCUGUAGCUGGUCUGAGAGGACGACCAGCCACACUGGGACUGAGACACGGCCCAGACUCCUACGGGAGGCAGCAGUGGGGAAUUUUGGACAAUGGGGGCAACCCUGAUCCAGCAAUGCCGCGUGCAGGAAGAAGGCCUUCGGGUUGUAAACUGCUUUUGUACGGAACGAAACGGUCUGGGUUAAUACCCUGGGCUAAUGACGGUACCGUAAGAAUAAGCACCGGCUAACUACGUGCCAGCCGCCGCGGUAACAC